UACGGAGGUGCGAGCGUUAAUCGGAAUCACUGGGCGUAAAGCGCGCGUAGGUGGUUUUGUAAGUCGGGUGUGAAAGCCCUGGGCUUAACCUGGGAAUUGCAUUCGAUACUGCAUAACUAGAGUAUGGUAGAGGGAAGUGGAAUUUCCGGUGUAGCGGUGAAAUGCGUAGAUAUCGGAAGGAACACCAGUGGCGAAGGCGACUUCCUGGGCCAAUACUGACACUGAGGUGCGAAAGCGUGGGGAGCAAACAGG
rnacentral:misc_RNA from 1 species